CAAUAGCGUAUAUUAAAGUUGUUGCGGUAAAAAAGCUCGUAGUUGGAUUUCUGUUGAGAGCGACCGGUCCAUACCAUGUAUGCGUAUCUGGCUUGCUCUCGGCAUCCUCUCGAUAGACGUUACUGCGCUUGAUUGCGUGGUGCGGAUCUCGGGACUUUUACUUUGAGGAAAUUAGAGUGUUCACGGCGGGCUUUCGCCAGAAUACAUUAGCAUGGAAUAAUACUAUAGGAUCUUGGUUCUAUUUUGUUGGUUUCUAGAAUUGAGAUAAUGAUUAAUAGGGACAAUUGGGGGCAUUCGUAUCAACACGUCAGAGGUGGAAUUCUUGGAUUGUGUUGCGACGAACUACUGCGAAAGCAUUUGCCAAGGAUGUUUUCAUUGA
rnacentral:rRNA from 1 species